GUGUUUCAGGCGACCCGAUCCUCCUCCCAAGGGCGCCUGACAGAAUAGCGGCACUCCUCCUCCCAGCCGUUGUUCAAGUCUUUCGAGAAGCCUGCCGCACCUCCUCCCGCGGCAGGCUUUUUCG
rnacentral:sRNA from 1 species